AUGGACCUGAGGGAUUUUUACCUGUUGGCUGCUUUGAUUGCCUGUUUGAGACUGGAUUCUGCUAUAGCUCAGAACUUAUUUACACUAUUAGAGAGGAGCUGCUGAAAACGUACCCAUAGGGAACAUACCAAAGGACCUGAAACAUUUCUCAUAUCAAUGCUGCCACGGGGACCAGUGCCAGCCUGUCCUACAGACUGGUGUCUAAAGCAGGGGAUGCACCUCUGGUCAAAGUGUCCAGUAACACUGGGGAAAUCUUUACGAACAUCUAACAGAAUAGACAGAGAAAAACUUUGUGCUGGUGCUUCGUAUGCAGAAGAAAAUGAGUGUUUCUUUGAACUUGAAGUGGUGAUUCUCCCCAAUGACUUUUUAGGCUGAUCAAAAUAAAAAUCAUUGUAAAGGAUACUAAUGACAACGCACCUAUGUUUCCGUCCCCUGUCAUCAAUAUCUCGAUCCCAGAAAACACUCUGAUCAACAGUCGCUUUCCAAUCCCAUCAGCAACAGAUCCUGACACGGUUUCAACGGUGUGCAGCACUAUGAGUUGUUAAACGGGCAGAGUGUGUUUGGACUGGAUAUUGUAGAAACUCCAGAAGGAGAGAAAUGGCCUCAGCUAAUCGUGCAGCAGAACUUGGACAGAGAGCAAAAGGACACCUACGUGAUGAAAAUCAAAGUGGAGGAUGGAGGUACCCCUCAGAAAUCCAGCACAGCCAUCCUGCAAGUCACAGUAAGUGAUGUCAAUGAUAACAGGCCGGUGUUUAAAGAAAGUCAAGUAGAGGUUCAUAUACCAGAGAAUGCCCUGUAGGCACCUCUGUAAUUCAGCUUCAUGCUACUGAUGCAGAUAUAGGAAGCAAUGCAGAAAUCAGAUACAUUUUUGGUGCCCAGUUGCCCCUGCAACCAAAAGAUUUUUUGCUUUAAACAACACCACAGGGCUGAUUACAGUGCAGAGGUCCUUAGAUCGAGAAGAGACUGCUAUUCACAAAGUGACAGUGUUGGGCUAGUGAUGGUAGCUCUACACCAGCCCGGGCCACUGUUACCAUCAAUGAUCACUGAUGUAAAUGAUAACCCUCCUAACAUAGACCUCAGGUAUAUAAUAAGUCCCAUCAAUGGGCACAGUGUACUUAUCUGAGAAAGAUCCCAGCAAUACAAAGAUUGCCCUAAUUACAGUCUCAGAUAAGGACACUGAUGUGAACGGCAAAGUGAUCUGUUUCAUUGAGAGAGAGGUCCCCUUCCACUUGAAGGCAGUUUAUACGACAACCAGUACUUGUUAGAGACCUCUUCCUUGUUGGACUAUGAGGGCACCAAAGAAUUCAGCUUUAAAAUUGUUGCUUCUGAUUCUGGCAAGCCCAGUUUGAACCAGACUGCCCUGGUAAGAGUUAAACUGGAGGAUGAAAAUGACAACCCUCCAAUUUUCAGCCAGCCUGUAAUUGAGCUGUCAGUUUCUGAAAACAACCGGCGUGGUCUAUACUUAACAACUAUUAGUGCCACAGAUGAAGACAGUGGGAAAAAUGCAGACAUUGUGUAUCAGCUUGGCCCUAAUGCCUCCUUUUUUGAUCUGGAUCGAAGACAGGAGUUUUGACAGCCUCCAGAGUUUUUGACAGAGAAGAGCAGGAGCGUUUCAUUUUCACUGUUACAGCACGAGACAAUGGCACCCCUCCUUUGCAGAGUCAAGCAGCCGUAAUUGUUACUGUGUUGGACGAAAAUGACAACAGUCCCAAAUUUACUCAUAACCACUUCCAGUUUUUUGUAUCAGAGAACUUACCAAGUACAGCACAGUGGGGGUGAUCACAGUGACUGAUUGCAGAUGCUGGGGAAAAUAAAGCAGUGACCCUUUCCAUCCUGAAUGACAAUGAAAACUUUGUGCUGGAUCCAUACUCUGGAGUUAUAAAGUCCAAUGUUUCCUUUGAUCGAGAGCAGCAGAGCUCCUACACUUUUGAUGUUAAGGCAGUGGAUGGAGGGCAACCUCCUCGCUCUUCUUAACGGCAAAAGUAACCAUAAAACGUGAUGGAUGUUAAUGAUAACAGCCCCGUUGUCAUCUACCCACCUUCUAACACUUCUUUUAAGCUAGUGCCACUCUCAGCAAUUCCAGGAUCUGUGGUAGCUGAAGUCUUUGCUGUGGAUAUAGACACUGGCAUGAACGCUGAGCUUAAAUACACAAUUGUAAGUGGAAAUAAUAAGGGUUUGUUUCGGAUUGAUCCAGUGACAGGUAAUAUCACUCUGGAAGAAAAACCAACUCCUAAUGAUGUGGGGCUGCAUCGCUUAGUUGUCAACAUAAGUGAUUUGGGUUAUCCCAAAUCCCUGCAUACUCUUGUGCUUGUGUUUUUGUACGUAAAUGAUACUGCUGGAAAUGCUUCUUAUAUUUAUGACUUGAUACGCAGGACUAUGGAGACACCUUUGGACAGGAAUAUAGGGGACAGUAGCCAACCCUACCAAAACGAGGACUAUCUCACAAUCAUGAUUGCCAUUGUGGCGGGUGCCAUGGUUGUCAUAGUGGUGAUAUUUGUCACAGUUCUUGUUCGCUGUCGCCAUGCAUCCAGAUUCAAAGCCGCCCAGAGGAGCAAGCAAGGUGCUGAGUGGAUGUCUCCCAAUCAAGAGAACAAGCAAAACAAGAAAAAGAAAAGGAAGAAAAGGAAAUCUCCGAAGAGCUCUCUUUUGAACUUUGUGACCAUUGAGGAGUCCAAACCUGAUGAUGCAGUACAUGAACCUAUCAACGGGACAAUAAGCCUUCCAGCAGAGCUGGAGGAGCAAAGUAUAGGAAGAUUUGAUUGGGGCACAGCACCACCAACAACCUUUAAGCCUAACAGUCCUGAUCUUGCCAAGCAUUACAAAUCUGCCUCUCCGCAGUCUGCUUUUCAUCUCAAACCCGACACUCCAGUUUCAGUGAAAAAGCACCAUGUGAUUCAGGAACUCCCGUUGGACCAACACCUUUGUUGGUGUUGUGACACCCUUUCCAAACGCUCUUCCACUAGUUCAGAUCACUUCAGUGCCUCAGAGUGCAGUUCCCAAGGAGGCUUCAAGACAAAGGGCCCCUUACACACCAGACAGGUAAACGAGCACUUUUACUGGUCUAUAAGUACUGCAUACAAGUGCCCAAUCAACCAGUAUUAAAAGUGCCCCUGUGUUGUGGUUUGUUUU